UCCUUUGUAAACCUUCAAGCGAUGGAUUCUAUCCCCUGUAAGACUUGAUCUGUUCUUAUUUCACCGGAUCUGAAAUAAAACAAUAAUGAGUUACACGUGUUCAGUAAAUCAAAUUUAAAAUUUAAACCUACAACUUGAAAUUCGUAAUCACUCCAAAAAUUUGAUUUAAUCCUUAUACCCUCUCCUGUUCACUUUUCUGCACAACUUCACAAUUCCUCACUGUUCACCACUAAAAUUCCCCUAAGUUCCCAUCUGUUUCCUGUCUAAAAACUUACUGCUCACUUUUUUCCCUCUACAAAAAUUUCUCUGUUCAUCCCUGCUGCUUUCCAGAUUCCAUAUUUUUCCCAUCCCAACCCAUUUUCCCAUCAUCCAGCACCUCACUCACUACCACAGAGAUUCUCCUCUGCCCACCAUUUCUAUUUCUUUCCCAUCUAGACUCCUAUUAGAUUAAAAUAAAAUCAUGAUAGCAAACCAACAUAUUCCUUAUGUCAUAAUUUGCACUCUCCCUGCUCCCCAUCUCACCAAUUCUUCAAUUUGUCUCCCGUCUGGAAUCUUAUUGAGUUUAAGUCUCAACCACUUUCCAGCCUACAUCUUCCUAAUUCCCUAUCUUCCUU
rnacentral:lncRNA from 1 species